AUUGAACGCUGGCGGCAUGCUUUACACAUGCAAGUCGAACAGCAGCGGGGAGGAGCUUGCUUCUCUGCCGGCGAGUGGCGAACGGGUGAGUAAUACAUCGGAACGUGUCGAGAAGAGGGGGAUAACCACCCGAAAGGGUGGCUAAUACCGCAUAAAUUCUGAGGAAGAAAGCUGGGGACCUAGGAAUAGGCCUAGCGCUUUUUGAGCGGCCGAUGUCGGAUUAGCUAGUUGGUGAGGUAAAGGCUCACCAAGGCGAAGAUCUGUAGCGGGUCUGAGAGGAUGAUCCGCCACACUGGGACUGAGACACGGCCCAGACUCCUACGGGAGGCAGCAGUGGGGAAUUUUGGACAAUGGGGGCAACCCUGAUCCAGCCAUGCCGCGUGUAUGAAGAAGGCCUUAGGGUUGUAAAGUACUUUUGUUAGGGAAGAAAAGUCAGCUGUGAAUAAUGGCUGAUACUGACGGUACCUAAAGAAUAAGCACCGGCUAACUACGUG
rnacentral:rRNA from 1 species